rnacentral:rRNA from 1 species
GACAGAGGGUGCAAACGUUGUUCGGAAUUACUGGGCGUAAAGCGAGUGUAGGCGGUCCUAUAAGUCGGGUGUGAAAGCCCUGGGCUCAACCCAGGAAGUGCACUCGAGACUGUGGGGCUAGAGUAUCGGAGAGGUUGGUGGAAUUCUCGGUGUAGAGGUGAAAUUCGUAGAUAUCGAGAGGAACACCGGUGGCGAAGGCGAGUCCCUGGAAAACUCCUGACACUGAGGCACGAAAGCUAGGGGAGCAAACAGG